rnacentral:siRNA from 1 species
CUGACAAUGUCCUCCGCCCGG